AUUGAACGCUGGCGGCAUGCCUUACACAUGCAAGUCGAACGGUAACAGGUCCUCGGAUGCUGACGAGUGGCGAACGGGUGAGUAAUACAUCGGAACGUGCCUAGUAGUGGGGGAUAACUACUCGAAAGAGUGGCUAAUACCGCAUGAGAUCUACGGAUGAGAGCAGGGGAUCGCAAGACCUUGCGCUACUAGAGCGGCCGAUGGCAGAUUAGGUAGUUGGUGGGAUAAAAGCUUACCAAGCCGACGAUCUGUAGCUGGUCUGAGAGGACGAUCAGCCACACUGGGACUGAGACACGGCCCAGACUCCUACGGGAGGCAGCAGUGGGGAAUUUUGGACAAUGGGCGAAAGCCUGAUCCAGCAAUGCCGCGUGCAGGAUGAAGGCCUUCGGGUCGUAAACUGCUUUUGUACGGAACGAAAAGCCCCGGGUUAAUACCCUGGGGUCAUGACGGUACCGUAAGAAUAAGCACCGGCUAACUACGUGCCAGCAGCCGCGGUAA
rnacentral:rRNA from 1 species